UACAGAGGUGGCAAGCGUUGUUCGGAAUUACUGGGCGUAAAGGGCGCGUAGGCGGUCUUGUAAGUCCCGUGUGAAAUCCCUCGGCUCAACUGAGGAACCGCACGGGAAACUGCUUGGCUUGAGUUCGGGAGAGGGAAGCGGAAUUCCGGGUGUAGCGGUGAAAUGCGUAGAUAUCCGGAGGAACACCGGUGGCGAAGGCGGCUUCCUGGACCGACACUGACGCUGAGGCGCGAAAGCUAGGGGAGCAAACGGG
rnacentral:rRNA from 1 species